UUGAGGUUUUACACAAGAUUUCACAUGUGGUUACUCUGCCUGCUGCUCAUCACAGUUUAUUUGUUUCAGUGAUUUCUGCACACCACUGAGCAAUCACAUUCCCACCCUAAGGGAUAAGUGCGUGACAGACUGGCCGUCUCUGGCAGCAUACCUGGGCUUGAAUCAAAUUUUCAAUAUAUAUAUAUAUAUAUAUAUAUUUCGUGUUACCAUACAAGGCACAGUCAGAACUGAGGGCAAACUCCAGUUCGGAGGUGAGCAAGGAAAGCCCUUCCGAAACUGCCAGGAGCUGAAACAAUUUGGCAGGCGUUGCAGAAGAAAACUGCCAGCAUGGAAUGACGAGAUGGGAGCAUUACUUCAACAGAAGAAGCUCUGAUUAGCAGAUUAUCGCUUAAGUGAUGUUGAUCCCAGCCACGCUGCCUUCCAAAUGAGCCCUUUCACAGCUGCCAGCUGCACCACGGAGUCAUGCAUGUAAAUGAGUGGGCCAGAUCCUUUGCUGGCAUCGGUUGAGGCAGCUCUGAUGGACCAUCGUGGAGUUACAGCAGCUGGAGAAGUCUGGCUGUAUCAGGGACUCUGACGCGCAUCGCAAACUUCUUUGGGAGCUGGUGGGAAAGAGAACCUGAAACAGAGCUGUUACAGGAUGGGAUGGCUUCUCCUGGUCCAACAGCACCAAAAGCACAGCUGCAGGGACCCUCUAAACUUUAAUUUAGUCUAUUUUCUACCAGACAAGCUCUUCUUUAUAACUUUGUGCUAUCCAAUAUAUCCACGCAGAGCUGGAAGAUUGGACACUGGAUUUAAGGGAGACCCCUGGCUGUCUGGAGAGCAGAUCCCUUGAGGCACUGCAAUUGCAAUGAUCCCUGUUCAAAGUGCUGAAUCCCUCCAGUACUGGAAUAUUGGUCCUCCAGUGAGAUGGCAGCUGUUUGUAGUGGAGGGGUCUAGAUGAUCAGAGUUACAGAAGCCAGUGCUGUAUCCCAUUAUUAUAAACACGGAGUCACAGAAAAUUCUGAACUGUAUUGGCAGACCAAUCCUAUUGUCUGAACUCAGGCCAUUUCGGGCAGCAAAGAAAGGAAAACAAAAAAUGCUACGCAUCAUUGGAGAAAAAGCCCUGCCAAAGAACCGCGUCCACAGGGAUCAUGGCAGAAAGAGGGACUCAAAGCAACAUCUUCCAUGUGGCAGUAGCUCGAUUCAAUGGGUAAAUGAAAGGGAUGCAUUUCAUCAGUCUUCUGUUGAUGUCAAUCUCGUGUAUUGAGAUGAAAAGUUGACCUUUCUAAACUGAAAUGUUUCCCUCCAGGAAAGUUUAAAUAUUUUGACUUUGUUCCAGUUUGAGAGGAAAACAAACAUCGAAAUAUCAGAGUCUUCUUGUGCAAGAGCAGUGUCAUUGCCCCAUGUGCUGUGCAGUUGCAUUUAUUACUUUGUUCAUUGCAUCUGAUUUUUAUUUUUUUAUUUUUUAUUUUUUUUUCCAGUGGAAAGUUUUAAAUGGAAAUGAUUGAGGUUGGUUUUGAAGACUGGCACAAGGAACAUACUUCUCUGGGAUUUCUUCUCUUCCCCUCCUCCUUUUCCAAGUAAAGUGAUAAAUUGAAGCAUGUAUAGAUUCCACAAGCACGUGUCUAGACCUCAUGUGCACAUGAGCAUGCAUUUGUAUGCAGUCAUGCACAUGCAGUGGCAAGAAGAUAAUGAAGACAAACAAAGCAUCCUCUGUGCCAAACAGUGGCAGUAGGGAAAAGGGAAUAGUGAAUAACCUAAUAACACUAUGCCAGAAAUGUGAGAGAAAAAUAUCCAAAAAGGGAAAAGGGAGAGCUGAUUGCUGCAAGUGCAACUCUCAGAGAGAAACAGAUCAUUAGCUGAGAGUUAGGAGACUUCCUGGAGUACAGUAAAUAAUAUAAUAAUUGUCCAACAUGACAACAAUAUUCAUCUUCUUAAUUUCAGCCAUUUAAAGAUACAUUUCUAGGAUAUCUCAGAUGCUUAUCUUUAUGUGGGAUUGAAAGCCAAUAUAGUCUUCUUUCUUGAAUGACUCUAGAGGAAGCCUAGAGGUUUACUUUAAAUUAGACAACUCAAUUUCACAUGGCUAAAGUUAGGUGAAAUUGAUCCUUUUUUUUUUUUUUUUUUUUUUUUUUUUUUCCUAUCCAUCCCCUGCUGCUGUUCAGACUCCAGUCGAAGACACUGUAUACUCAUUAACUCCAAGAGAGUUUCUAGUGAGCUAAUAAAGGAAGGAAUUUAUGAUUUCAGAAAAAGGAUAAACAUCAAGAUCCUUGCUCCCAACAAAUAGCCUUGGAAAAGAAAAAAAAAAAAAAAGAAAAAAAAAAAAGAAAAAAACAGAAAGCAGGCUGUGGGGGUUGGGGAUAUGCUACAUAGACAGAAGUCUUGAAAUAGAAAGUUGGUCCAACAUUUCUGUGAGAUGUCAGCAAUUUUUAACUGAGCUUUGCCUGGAGAUAUUCAACUGGUUGGAACUAAUCCAUUUCCAGAAGAGGUGAAUCAGUGUCUAGCAAUUCACUAAGACAGUUGCCCAAGUGCUGUUUGCUGAAAAUCUGCAUUUCAUUGCCUUCAUGAGGGUAGAGUCCACUGGCACGCACAAGUGCAUCCAAGGAGGCAGCCCCAAGGUCUCGUUUGAGCUGGUGAGUACAGGAACUGCGGCUGUCAAGCAGAACAUCUCAGCCAGACCAUAAACCUUUGUGGGUGUGAGAUGAGACACCGGGAGUGGGUGAGGGGUGGGGAAGAAAAAGUGCUGUGCAAACUAGAGAAGAGUUUUGUCACUAAGUGUAAAUUGGCCCUGGUUAUGCUCCAGCUGCAAUAAGAAAGAUGGUCUCUGCCCGUCCCAGGGGAGUGAAUCCCAAAUGAAUUUUUUCAGGAAUAGUGGGGACAGACACUAAGUUACUUGAAUACAAAGCAGCAUGCAUUUCCUUAGGUGUUAUGUAACAGAUUUUCCUGAAAUAAGAGGGACCUGGAUUAAAAUGUAAAUAAACCUCUUUUAUAUUGGUUUUAGUUAUGGUCAGAGACUGCAGAGAUUUGCCACCAACCUACUGAAUGAGUCUGGCAGCAGUUUACCCAAGUCUUUGCCUGCAGAAAGGGAUAGUGCAUUUAUCUUCCUAGGACACAAAGGGUAGCCAAGAUCUUAAGCCCCUUGUUUAAGAUUUGAAUGACAUUAAACCCCAAACCCAAGAAAAUCCCUCUCUGUGAGACUUCCUGUAGGACAGCUGUUACAGGUGAGAUUCAGCUUGCAUAUUAAGACAGCUAAAAUUAGAGAUGAGAUUCAGCCAAAGCUUCAGACAUCCAAAAGUGAGGGUAUAGGCCUUGCAUAGGGUAAUUUCUUCACAUGGAAUCAGCCACAAGUGGAAACCUUUUGAAAAGACUCUGAUCAGGUCUGAGACAGCCACAGCAUUCCCAGAAGUGGAAGAGAAGACAUUAUGUUGGUUAAUAGCAUUAAAGGCAACAAGGGCCAGAUUACUCAGAGGAGAAGAUGGAGAGAGAAAUGAAAGAGAAAUGGAGAAGGGAGAGAAGGGGAUCCUGUGAAGGUCCUGAGCUCAUCUGAAAACACAGUCAAGACCUAAGUGCAUCAGUGAAAUCUAAGCUUCCUCUGAAAGGCAAUUGGAUCUCCUGGGCAGAUAGAAAAGUAAAGAGUCUGUGGAAAAUUUGGACUCCAAAUACUCCGGUUAAUGGGAACCUCACUGGUUUCAGUUUUUCAUUGAGUAUUUGGCUCACUGGAGGAUCACAGAUGAUGCCAACUCCAUUGAGCAGAUUUUUUAUUUUAUUUUAUUUUUUCUGGGGAAGGCAGCAAGAGGUUUGGACAGGUAACUCAGGACAGGUAAUCUCAAAGAGGCACAUUUGUCCAUGCACUUUGAGGAUAUUAAGCUGCAAGGAAAGAAAAAAAAUUAUAUAAAUUGCUCAAGAAAAGGAAAAAAAUAGUCAAACUCUCCACAAGAUUGUGCUUUGGAAAUUAAUAUUUAAAGACAGGUGCAAAAAACUUUCAGUUUUCUCUUCUGAAUGCUGAGCAAAUCCAGAUCAUUCUGUGAUUCUCUGAUCAUGUAAUUUUCUUUCUCCUUUGUACACAAGUUCCUUGAAAUGCGUAACCUGAAACUAAACAUGACAAUUCAGCUGAGGUGUGAGGUGGUUCUUGCCAGUGUUGCAGUGUUGCCCUGUGUACCAGAAGAAAAAUACCAUGAACUCUCCUAAGGCUAAAGCUAGAGCUGAAGCCAUCCAGUGAUGUGCAAGUUUUUGUUCUGAAAUUGUCAAACUGACACUGAACUCAUGAUCCUGCACAAUUCCUGGCAUCUUCCAGAAGAAACACGAGAAACUUCUGCUCUAGCCAAAGCCAUUGAAUAUGUAAAAAUAUUUGGAAUAUCCAUCUGCUGCAAUAAUAAGGCUCGUAUACAUCAUGCAACAUUGGUUUUGCCUUAUAUAGCUUGCUGCCAAUGUGAAUAAAGAAAUAUUCUCAACAUUUGGUAGCAGCCAAGCUAUUACAGGAACAAGGAACAUGAAUGGAACUGAAAUGAGGUAAUGUCACUUCUAAUGAUCCUGUGGUAGACAGAUUGCAACACAAGACAUUUCAAAAAGAGAAAACAGGAAAGAUUAGAUCCUGAGCUGAAUAUUUCUGCAGUAGGAAACCUUACUUUUUAAAGCAGUGCCUUACAAAGCAGGGUAGCUGGUCACAUUUGAAAAUGACUAGUAAACAAAGGCUGAAUAGAGAAUUAAGAGAUACUGUAAGUUAGAGCGGUUCAAAGCUUAAUGUUUUGAUUUCAAAGCAAAAUAAGAAACUAAAACCAAAACAGAUCUGGUUCAGAUGAAACAAAGAUUGCAUAUUUUUAUUUUUAUUUUUGUCGUAAAUGAAGACCCUGAAAAUACUGUUUCACAUUAAUUGGAAACAUCUAGUUGGACUGAAAUGAAUGCAAAGUUCACUUCAGAACUUGCCAUGGUUAGACUGGAUGUUUAACUUCUAAGCUUGCUCAAAGGAAGGUAUAAUGAAUCCCACGUUUACUGGCACUGGACAAAGAAAUAAGGUGUGUUUUUCAAGUUCAGCGCAAUCAAAUUUUACUGCUGUAGAUAAUUCAUAUCAGUAGGUGUGGCUGCAACCUGAUUUAAAGAAGGGGGUGAAUAUAUAACCAUACUGUCCUGUUCUCAUCACAUGGCACUGGAAAGGGCACCUAGGAUCCCUGUAGUUCCACCUCUGAAAACCUGUGCAAAAAUAUGGGUAUAUGCAUCAUCCAGCAAGCAUGCAGAGAGGCUGCUGCAUUUAAGGUGUGUUGGACCUGGUCUACACAUGGAUCUUCAUGCAACCAGCACCAAUUGUCCUGCAGAGCAUAGGAUGGACAUCCAGCCACUGUUGCUGAAUAUUCAGAAGCCAUGAGCAUAUCUACUUGUCUGGAAUAAGCAAAGUGUGGCACAGAGAAAUAGAAUGGAAGUAGAUCAGACCCCUCUAAAAAUACCCUCUCUUGGCAAAAUCCUACCUGGAGAAGCACUGCCAAUUCCAGACACCUUAAUAAGGAAUGCGACAUAUUCAUUGCUACAGUAUUUUAUUUUACAUUUGGCUUUUCCCAGAUGAACUGCAGUUCAGUUCUCUUUCACAGCUAAAAUUUAACUGUUCUUGCAGUAAAGCAGCUUUUUAAAAAAUCUUGUUGGAAGGGGUAGAGGGUGGUGGAAAGUAGUUUAAAAAUUAAUAGAGGUACUUUUUUUCUUAAUUGAACUAUAAAUGCUAUUUUAAUGAGCAUCCUGUAAUGUGAAAACCUAGACAGGAAUUCAUCAAGAAUACUGAGAACCAGCCACAGUAUCACAAAAUGGUCCAUUCUCAGAAUAAAUAUAAAAUGCAACUCAUAUUUCCUGUGGGUGGUGGUUUCAUAAUUCACAGAACUACCAACAGUUUUGCCUUCCUCCAGUUUCUCAAUACUCUGGACAACUUUUCAGUGUAUUAGUGAGAAAGAGAAUCUUUCAAGCAAAACAUUCCCAGUAGUAAGUUUACCACUUGGCUCAGUUAUUCCAGCAUGACUCCAUCCCUUCACAUGAUGUGGUGCUAUAGUUUCUUUUGUUGUUGAUUCUGUUUCUUUUGUUUCUUUCUUUCUUUUUUUCCCCUCACAUAUUCAUAAAGCAUAACAUAAAUCAGGUAAAUCACACCUAGAAGAGCUCGUUUCCCACCACUGACAAUAAAAACAGUAGCAAUGAGCCAUGAUCAUGAUGCAUGAAUCUGGAGCUGAAUCCCAGUGGUGCUAUCUAAAGUGAGGAGUGGUGACUCAGCUAUUGAUUUGGACAA